GAUGAAGAACGCAGCGAAAUGCGAUAAGUAAUGUGAAUUGCAGAAUUCAGUGAAUCAUCGAAUCUUUGAACGCACCUUGCGCUCUUUGGUAUUCCGAAGAGCAUGCCUGUUUGAGUGUCAUGAAAAUAUCAACCUUGACUUGGGUUUUGUGCUCUAGUCUCGGCUUGGAAUUGGGUGCUUGCCGCUUUUACGAGCGGCUCACCUUAAAUGUAUUAGCUGGAUCUGUCUUUGAGACUUGGUUUGACUUGGCGUAAUAAGUAUUUCGCUAAGGACAUUCUUCGGAGUGGCCUCGUUUCUAGGACGCUUGUCCGCUUUCCAAUACAAGUUCCACCUCGUGGACAUGACUUUUUAUUAUCUGGCCUCAAAUCAGGUGGGACUACCCGCUGAACUUAAGCAUAUCAAUAAGCGGAGGA
rnacentral:misc_RNA from 1 species